GAUGAACGCUGGCGGCGUGCUUAACACAUGCAAGUCGAACGGGAUCCAAGGGGUGCUUGCACUUUUUGGUGAGAGUGGCGAACGGGUGAGUAACACGUGAGUAACCUGUCCUUUUCUUUGGGAUAAGCAUUCGAAAGGGUGUUUAAUACCUUAUGUUCUGUCUGCCUCGCAUGGGGUGGGUGGGAAAGGCUUUGGCCGGAUUUGGGUGGGCUCGCGGUCUAUCAGCUUGUUGGUGGGGUGAUGGCUUACCAAGGCUUUGACGGGUAGCCGGCCUGAGAGGGUGGUCGGUCACAUUGGGACUGAGAUCCGGCCCAGACUCCUGCGGGAGGCAGCAGUGGGGGAUAUUGCACAAUGGGCGAAAGCCUGAUGCAGCGACGCCGCGUGGGGGAUGAAGGCCUUCGGGUUGUAAACUUCUUUUGCUCUGAACAAGGCAUGCCAGUGGGUGUGUUGAGUGUAGGGGUUGAUUAGCGCCGGCUAACUACGUG
rnacentral:rRNA from 1 species